GAUGAACGCUGGCGGCGUGCUUAACACAUGCAAGUCGAACGAUGAACCCGGAGCUUGCUCCGGCGGAUUAGUGGCGAACGGGUGAGUAACACGUGAGUAACCUGCCCUUGACUCUGGGAUAACUGCUAGAAAUGGUAGCUAAUACCGGAUACGACCCUUGGUGGCAUCACCAGGGGGUGGAAAGAAUUUCGGUCAAGGAUGGACUCGCGGCCUAUCAGCUAGUUGGUGAGGUAACGGCUCACCAAGGCGACGACGGGUAGCCGGCCGGAGAGGGUGACCGGCCACACUGGGACUGAGAUACGGCCCAGACUCCGACGGGAGGCAGCAGUGGGGAAUAUUGCACAAUGGGCGCAAGCCUGAUGCAGCGACGCCGCGUGAGGGAUGACGGCCUUCGGGUUGUAAACCUCUUUCAGUAGGGACGAAGCGCAAGUGACGGUACCUACAGAAGAAGGACCGGCCAACUACGUGCCAGCCGCCGCCGUAA
rnacentral:rRNA from 1 species